rnacentral:rRNA from 1 species
GCACUCCUGAGAGUUAGCGGSGGACGGGUGAGUAACAMGUAGGCAACCUGCCCUCAAGACUGGGAUAAMUACCGGAAACGGUAGCUAAUACCGGAUAAUUUAUUACAUAGCAUUAUGURAUAAUGAAAGRMGGAGCAAUCUGUCACUUGGGGAUGGGCCUGCGSCGCAUUAGCUAGUUGGURRGGUAACGGCYCACCAAGGCRACGAUGCGUAGCCGACCUGAGAGGGUGAWCGGCCACACUGGRACUGAGACACGGYCCAGACUCCUACGGGAGGCAGCAGUAGGGAAUCUUCCGCAAUGGGCGAAAGCCUGACGGAGCAACGCCGCGUGAGUGAUGAAGGUUUUCGGAUCGUA